rnacentral:rRNA from 1 species
UUCUGUGAUGCCUCUUAGAUGUUCUGGGCCGCACGCGCGCUACACUGACAGAGCCAGCGAGUACAUCACCUUGGCCGAAAGGUCUGGGUAAUCUUGUUAAACUCUGUCGUGCUGGGGAUAGAGCAUUGCAAUUAUUGCUCUUCAACGAGGAAUGCCUAGUAAGCGCAAGUCAUCAGCUUGCGUUGAUUACGUCCCUGCCCUUUGUACACACCGCA